CUUUCCUCCCAUCUCCAUCUCCAUCUCCAUCUCUGUGUUUAGAGAACUCUUUCCUCUCUUCUCAACUCUGAACUCUCGCAUCGUGAAGAACGUCAGGGUUUGUCAAGGUUGAAGAACGUUGAAGUUCAUCUGAGUGUGAAGAAGAACUGGUCAGAGUUGUUUUAGGAAUAACUAAUAAGGUACGUGAAAGAAAAUCUGAGUUGGCUAGGCUAAAAGCCCUUGAUUGUGGAAAACCAUUGGAUGAAGCAUCAUGGGGCAUGGAUGAUGUUGCCGGAUGUUUCGAGUAUUGUGCAGAUCUCGCUGUUAUAUAUUUUUCCUCUUGAAUAUUGGAAUUACCCUCUUUUGAUGGCCAUAUGGAAGGUGGCUCCAUCCUUGGCUGCUGGGUGCGCAGCUAUACUAAGCCCUCUGAGUUGACAUCCAUAGCUGGGUGAUAUCUGUAGAGAAGUUGGUCUACCUCCUGGUGUACUCAACAUUGUAACUGGAUUAGGUCCAGAAGCUGGGGCUCCUUUAGCAGCUCAUCCUCAUGUCGACAAGCCUGUUACUUUGGAACUCGGUGGAAAAAGUCCUAGUAUAUUCGAGGAUACAGACCUUGGCAAAGCUUCUGAGUGGACUAUGUUUGGUUGUUUUUGGACAAAUGGUCAAAUGUGCAGUGCAACAUCUCGACUUAUUGUACAUGUGAACUGGCAGUUGUGGAGGACGAGGCCGAGAAAGUUCACAGAUUCCCGGAGGUCAAUUACCCCCUGGGAUGAUGAGACCACCUAUUCUGCCACGACCAGCUGGUAUUCCAGAUGCAUACAAUGAAUCAAUGAUGCACCGGCACUAAGAUGUUCACACUGAGCACUAUGUUCUUAGAUCUUUAAUUUUUAUCUCUGAGAUGACAAAUCUGGUUGAGUAUGAUUCUUCAUAGAUCAUGCAUCUACCCUGGUUGAGUAUGAUUCUUCAUAGGACGGUUCACACUUUUGUCAGACCUGGAACCAUCUCUCAAAGCUCUUAAAGAUAAGCUCUUGACUAAGAAUGUGCAUUGACUUUUUAAUGAGCAUUGAUUGUUAAUUGGUAAAGAUAGUUCCAGGGAAUUAAUGAAUGUUUCUUAUGUUUUCAUUUGCAGCUAAUUAUUAGCAUUAGCAUCCCCGGGCAAGAUGAAUUUGUUUUCCAACCACGCUUAUUCGGGAAGAACUAAGAUGUCAAAAUCCACACUGCUACAAAGUCAAUGAUUCAAAUUACAUUAGUAGUCUGCAGCUGCGACUAUCUGAACACAACCCAAUUAGUGGAUUGUGAAAUCUCUACGGUUGGGCAGACUCAUUCAUGGAAGCUUCGCUAUGGUUAUGAUUGUGUGAAUGAUGAUAAAGAUGUUUCCAACAUCGAGGCCAAGAUGACUGAUGGUUGAUUGAAUGAUACUGUGUUAUGAGAUCAGAAAUUAAGGUUGGAGAACAAAGCAGCAGCCAUUAGUCCCUUGGCAGCUGCAAGAUUUGUAAGUUUAUGUAGUAUCUCCUUAUAGUGAUUUAAGUUGGAAGAACUUAGGAAUUUCGUAACUUUACAUGAACUGAACUUAGGAACCAAGUAUGUUUCUAAUGUGUACACUAGUUUGUUGUGAUACUUGGAACACAUUUGUAUCAAAUACUCAUACUUUAUGUUAAAAUCAAUUGAAGAAUCCA